rnacentral:tRNA from 1 species
GACCACUUGGCGGAAUUUGGUAGACGCGGCAGACUUAAAAUCUGUACCUUUUUUUAAGGUUGCCGGUUCAAGUCCGGCAGUGGUUA